GUAGUCUGCAACUCGACUACAUGAAGCUGGAAUCGCUAGUAAUCGCGAAUCAGCAUGUCGCGGUGAAUACGUUCCCGGGUCUUGUACACACCGCCCGUCACACCAUGGGAGUCGGUAACGCCCGAAGUCAGUGACCCAACCGAGAGGAGGGAGCUGCCGAAGGCGGGACUGGUGACUGGGGUGAAGUCGUAACAAGGUAUC
rnacentral:rRNA from 1 species